CAGUGCUGCAAUUACCAUUUAAUCAAACUGAGCCUCAUUGCAUGUGACCAUGAAUAAGGAAAGUGUGAACAUUGGUUUACUUUGGUAUUAUUAUGGAUUGAUGUGCUCUGGGCGUAUACCCAUAUUGCCACACAUAUACCAUCAAAGAAAUGCAAACCAAGUGCAUCCUGGGAUGACCAAAAAUAUGCACUAUCAUGCACAAAAGACAACCGACACAGCAGGAGAUCCAGAGACGGACAGAGGUGAUUCUCUGUCAAGUGUUUUUGAUCAGGAAUGUCCUGCUGAGCUGCACAAUGCGAUGUCUGGCGACGCUUGGUCAUCCAGAGAAAAAACUGAGCCAUGGAUCUCCUUUGAAGACAUGGGAGCCUACUCAGCUAUUACAUCAUGGCCUUACUUCCCUUGGCAGAUACAAAGACCCACUGAGAAAACCAAACCCUCAGAGAUGUGGAGUGACCUAGAGAGGCACAUCCAGAAGCGAAAGGCCCAUGAUCAGUGGAACAGUGCGCAAGGACGGGAGAGGAUAGGCGUCGUCUGGCCCAGGCCAGCGCCAUCCAACAUCCCCUGAGCUCCAGUCACCCACACAUCCCUAACAAUUAUUUAUUUUCCAAUAAAUGCACACAAGAACGCC